GGCAGCACGGGAGCAAUCCUGGUGGCGAGUGGCGAACGGGUGAGUAAUAUAUCGGAACGUGCCCAGUCGUGGGGGAUAACGUAGCGAAAGCUACGCUAAUACCGCAUACGAUCAUGGAUGAAAGCGGGGGAUCGCAAGACCUCGCGCGAUUGGAGCGGCCGAUAUCAGAUUAGGUAGUUGGUGAGGUAAAGGCUCACCAAGCCGACGAUCUGUAGCUGGUCUGAGAGGACGACCAGCCACACUGGGACUGAGACACGGCCCAGACUCCUACGGGAGGCAGCAGUGGGGAAUUUUGGACAAUGGGCGCAAGCCUGAUCCAGCAAUGCCGCGUGCAGGAUGAAGGCCUUCGGGUUGUAAACUGCUUUGUACGGAACGAAACGGCGAGCUCUAAUACAGUUUGCUAAUGACGGUACCGUAAGAAUAAGCACCGGCUAACUACGUG
rnacentral:rRNA from 1 species